rnacentral:sRNA from 14 species
UUGACAGGCCUGUAAAGUGAAGUCCUUCAAUCAUCUGGAACAAGCACAGCCCAGACAGCAGCUGUGCACGAAUCCCCACGUUACCCCAUGAUGUCUCAACCCUAUUUUGAAGGAAUUGUCAGUAUGGGAAAAGAGACAGUUUGGUCUUCAUGCCCAUUUAAGCCUUCACCUGC